rnacentral:RNase_P_RNA from 1 species
CAGAUGAGAUUUGGGGCUGACGGUGGGCAUUGACUCGCUGAGGAACCUCACCUCACACUCCAAGCAAGGAAUGGAAGAAUCCAUGAUGGUGAAAACCAUAUUUCAGUAAUAGAAACGGCACCGCCUUCAUAUCGAUAUUAAUGACUUGGAAUUAAGCCAAUGAAAUGAUGUGAGGGAGUGGUUGAAACGAGCUGAAACCUUGGUGCAAGACCAAAUGAAAGCGUAGGAACUUGGAGCCAGCUUUAGGUAGGUCGCUUAGUUUGAUGCCUCACCAGUGUUCCGGCGACGGAGCCUGUACAGAAAGGUGGGUAUAAAUCUCAGCUG